AAUCAACGCUGGCGGCGUGCCUCAGACAUGCAAGUCGAACGAUUAAACUUUCCUUCGGGAAAGAUAUAAAGUGGCGCACGGGUGAGUAACACGUAGGUAAUGUGCCUUUGGGUGGGGAAUAACUUAGGGAAACUUAAGCUAAUACCGCAUAAUGCAGCGGCUCCUUCGGGAGACAGUUGUUAAAGAUUUAUCGCCUAAAGAGCAGCCUGCGGCAGAUUAGCUAGUUGGUAAGGUAACGGCUUACCAAGGCUACGAUCUGUAUCCGACCUGAGAGGGUGGUCGGACACACUGACACUGAAUAACGGGUCAGACUCCUACGGGAGGCAGCAGUCGGGAAUUUUGGGCAAUGGGCGAAAGCCUGACCCAGCAACGCCGCGUGAAGGAUGAAGUCUUUC
rnacentral:rRNA from 1 species